ACGAACGCUGGCGGCUGCUUAACACAUGCAAGUCGAACGGAGUGGCGAACGGGUGAGUAACGCGUGAGCAACCUGCCUAUGACAGUGGGAUAGCCUCGGGAAACCGGGAUUAAUACCGCAUAGUCAUAGAUGGGCUCGCGUCUGAUUAGCUAGUUGGUGAGAUAACAGCCCACCAAGGCGACGAUCAGUAGCCGGUCUGAGAGAAUGAACGAGCACAUUAGAACUGCGACACGGUGCGAACUCCUACGGGAGGCAGCAGUGGGGAAUAUUGCACAAUGGGUGAAACCCGGAGGCAGCGACGCCGCGUGAACGAAGAAGGUAUUAGGAUCGUAAAGUUCUGUCCUAUGGGAAGCAGUACCAUAGAAGAAAGCUCCGGCUAAAUACGUGCCAGCAGCCGCGGUAAUUC
rnacentral:rRNA from 1 species